UGGGUGUUUGAAGAGAGAGAAUUCCAUUUGGUUUUGGAAAAAAAGGGGAGAUUUCCAGAGCCCUGAAGCAUUGAACUUAUGGCUAAGAUAACUGCAGGGGUGCCAUGAGCCAGGGACGUGAGGCAACU